rnacentral:rRNA from 1 species
AUGAACGCUGGCGGCGUGCCUCAUACAUGCAAGUCGAGCGCACAGACGAGGAGCUUGCUCCUCUGACGUUAGCGGCGGACGGGUGAGUAACACGUGGAUAACCUACCUAUAAGACUGGGAUAACUUCGGGAAACCGGAGCUAAUACCGGAUAAUAUAUUGAACCGCAUGGUUCAAUAGUGAAAGACGGUUUUGCUGUCACUUAUAGAUGGAUCCGCGCCGCAUUAGCUAGUUGGUAAGGUAACGGCUUACCAAGGCAACGAUGCGUAGCCGACCUGAGAGGGUGAUCGGCCACACUGGAGCUGAGACACGGUCCAGACUCCUACGGGAGGCAGCAGUAGGGAAUCUUCCGCAAUGGGCGAAAGCUUGACGGAGCAACGCCGCGUGAGUGAUGAAGGUCUUCGGAUCGUAAAACUCUGUUAUUAGGGAAGAACAAAUGUGUAAGUAACUAUGCACGUCUUGACGGUACCUAAUCAGAAAGCCACGGCUAACUACGUG